GUUGAGUUGAGUAUACCAUUUUGCUAAGUGUUUUAAAAUAGAAAAACAGGCUUCUACAGCUAAUGAAAAUCAACGAAAGUGGUUUUUACAGAAUAAAAUUGAUACCAAAAAAGCAUGCAGAUUUUCUUGUCUUCCCCUUUCUUCGUUUUGGCAUUUUCUUGUUUUUAUUAAUCUGAGUCAUCUUCUUUUGUCUUUGCCUUGCAAUCAAUUGCAGAUUACUGUGCUACUAACUUACCAUGGUAGUUUUUGGGAUAAACCAGGAUGGUCAUAGUUAUCUGAUUUCAUGCACCUAACUUGGAUCGGUCAAUUUUCUUGUCUGCAGCACUUAUAAGGAUGAAUGUGUUCCUGUGGUCCAAGAUUUUAGUAUAUCGGAUGACAUAUUGAGACGUAUAUCUUGGGUUGAUGUUGAAAAGAAGCCUUGUGCAAAGAGGGUAAGCCUUCAAAUGCAGAAUUUUACCAAGGUUUUCGGGCCAGGUGUUGCAGGAAUUACAACAAUCAUGUUAAAUUUGUCAGUGGUGAAACAUUUAUCAUCUGGUAAUUGUUGACUCCAAAUUCAUCAAUCAUCAUGAACCAACUGGUCAAGAAUUCCCACUAAUUGGUGCUAUUAUUUUAUAGCCCAAGCAUCAAACAUGGUGGGGAUUUUGGGACCAAAAUAUCUUGGAAAAGGGGGGGAAAUUUAUGUCAAAUUCUUUGUUGCAAGGUGUCUGUAUAUUUGAUAGGAGAUUGGCACAUUUUUGUUUUCUUGAAAAUUACAGAGACAUAAUUAUUGAA